rnacentral:tRNA from 1 species
GCCUAGGUGGCUCAGUCGGUUGGGCAUCUGACUUUGGCUCAGGUCAUGAUCUCGCAGUUUGUGGGUUCGAGCCCCGCAUCAGGCU